CAAAGCCUUGGAAACGCUGAAAUCCAAACAGGGAGCUGCUCCUGGGAGGGAUCCCUGUGGCUCUGACCCGAAAUUUGGGGCUCCAAACCCAGAGGAUUGCGUGCGAUCCUGUCCGCGGGUGUGAGGAUUUUGUGCCAUCCCCAGCGGAGUCGGCGGUGGCUUCACCUGUCCCCAGGCGGUGCAGAGUCCCCGUGUGGCCCCGUGACAGGCAGCUGGCUCUGCUGGGAUUCCAGGACAGCUGGGAAUUGGGGUUUUGUGCCUCAUGCCCUAUAAACUUCAGACUCAAGGGUGUCGUCACCCCAAAAAAAACCCCCACAACGAGUCCGAGUGCGGCGUGGGAACUGCUGCCUUUUAGGGAUGUCUCCCACCUUUGCUGGAUUCCCACUUUUCCCGCUGAUCCACGCGCCCUGAGCGUGGCUGCCUGGCAGCACAGGUGUGUUCAAAGCUCUGGAGCCGUGCAUGGACACGCUGGAUGUUUAUCCAGCCUCUUCCAGGGGCCUCUGGAAUAACCAACCCCACUCCGGCUCUCCCAGGCCUCUUUCA